UACGGGGGGGGCAAGCGUUGUUCGGAAUUACUGGGCGUAAAGGGCUCGUAGGUGGCCAACUAAGUCGGACGUGAAAUCCCUCGGCUUAACCGGGGAACUGCAUCCGAUACUGGAUGGCUUGAGUUCGGGAGAGGGAUGCGGAAUUCCAGGUGUAGCGGUGAAAUGCGUAGAUAUCUGGAGGAACACUGGUGGCGAAGGCGGCAUCCUGGACCGACACUGACGCUGAGGAGCGAAAGCCAGGGGAGCAAACGGG
rnacentral:rRNA from 1 species